AACGAACGCUGGCGGCAUGCCUAACACAUGCAAGUCGAACGAUCCCUUCGGGGAUAGUGGCGCACAGGUGCGUAACGCGUGGGAACCUGCCCUUAGGUUCGGAAUAACUCAGAGAAAUUUGAGCUAAUACCGGAUAAUGUCUUCGGACCAAAGAUUUAUCGCCUUUGGAUGGGCCCGCGUUGGAUUAGCUAGUUGGUGGGGUAAAGGCCUACCAAGGCGACGAUCCAUAGCUGGUCUGAGAGGAUGAUCAGCCACACUGGGACUGAGACACGGCCCAGACUCCUACGGGAGGCAGCAGUGGGGAAUAUUGGACAAUGGGCGAAAGCCUGAUCCAGCAAUGCCGCGUGAGUGAUGAAGGCCUUAGGGUUGUAAAGCUCUUUUACCCGGGAUGAUAAUGACAGUACCGGGAGAAUAAGCCCCGGCUAACUCCGUG
rnacentral:rRNA from 1 species